rnacentral:sRNA from 1 species
UUUGUUUAUUCUUUUUCUUUUUUUUUGUCUUUUCUUG